rnacentral:rRNA from 1 species
UACGUAGGGUGCGAGCGUUUGUCCGGAAUUAUUGGGCGUAAAGGGCUCGUAGGCGGUUUGUCGCGUCGGGAGUGAAAACUCAGGGCUUAACCCUGAGCCUGCUCGAAGUACGGAGCAGACUAGAGGUAUGCAGGGGAGAACGGAAGUUCCUGGUGUAGCGGUGAAAUGCGCAGAUAUCAGGAGGAACACCGGUGGCGAAGGCGGUUCUCUGGGCAUUACCUGACGCUGAGGAGCGAAAGUGUGGGGAGCGAACAGG